CCCUUCAUAGCUCAGUUGGAAGAGCGAAGGACUGUAAUCUUCGGUUAUCCUUAGGUCCCUGGUUCGAUCCCAGGUGAAGGGA
rnacentral:tRNA from 1 species